AACGAACGCUGGCGGCAGGCCUAACACAUGCAAGUCGAACGCUCCGCAAGGGGAGUGGCAGACGGGUGAGUAACACGUGGGAAUCUUCCUAUUGGUACGGAAUAGCUCAGGGAAACUUGGGUAAUACCGUAUAAGCCCGUGAGGGGAAAGAUUUAUCGCCGAUAGAUGAGCCCGCGUCUGAUUAGCUAGUUGGUGAGGUAACGGCUCACCAAGGCGACGAUCAGUAGCUGGCCUGAGAGGAUGACCAGCCACACUGGGACUGAGACACGGCCCAGACUCCUACGGGAGGCAGCAGUGGGGAAUAUUGGACAAUGGGCGCAAGCCUGAUCCAGCCAUGCCGCGUGAGUGACGAAGGUCUUCGGAUUGUAAAGCUCUUUUGCCAGGGACGAUAAUGACGGUACCUGGAGAAUAAGCCCCGGCUAACUUCGUGCCAGCCGCCGCGGUAAAAC
rnacentral:rRNA from 1 species